GUAUUAACGGUAUGUUUAUUCGCUUAUGUGAACACAAUAUAAAAUCCCUAAAACCCAUCCGUCAAAAGUCACAAAAUCCCAUACUUCAAAAUAUGGUUAAUUAACUAUAACAUCUCCCUCAACCAACUAUAACUGUUCCGACCUAAAUGUCAUAGUCCUGAUUUUCGUCUCGUACUUUCGGGGACAGUCCCGUGUGAUCCGAGUUUGCUAGCAUUUUGUAGGUCAUCAUUCUUGUCUCCUGUGUCCUGAUCGCUGUUACCGUUUGCGUUUCCGCCUCGUUAACCGUUCUGUUCUUAAUCUUCUGAAUAAAACGCCUCCCUCGUGAUCGUCCACGUCCCGUCGAUCUGCCAGGCAGUUAUCAUCGAACCAUUUACACCAUUGAUUCGCAACAGUGUGGGGUUGAAACACCAGUAAAUAAAACUUGUCAUAUGAAAACGUGUCAUAUAAAAUUUGUUGCACAUACACACGUGCACUUGGCAAAUAAAACUUGUCACAUAAAAACUUGUCAUAGAAAACUUGCUCGUCUGUAACCGGCUUUAGAGCGUAGAGAAGUUUACUUGUUUUGGUGCAGUGUAAUCAACGUGCGCAUUCCAGGUAAGGUCCGAUGAUAUUAUCACUCCCAGAAUUAGUUUGAAGGUCUGUACGAUUUCUAUGUUUAAACCAGAUGAAGAGAGGGCAUCGAAUUCCAUAGGGACUCUAAGGAAGGAUAUACGCAUUUCUUUGGUUUUAAUUAGAUACAUUAAACCGCAUGUUGUUGUGAUUGGUCCAGUCAUUUAUAGUGUUUAUAUUAGCUUGAAGCGAUGAGUUGGGGGACGAUCUUGGAACUAUUUCAUCAUUAACACGCCUCUCAGUUAACCUUUCUCUGAAAUUAGGAGAAGUUCCAGCAAUAUGGAAACAGGCAAACGUCAGUCCGGUUCCCAAGGUUGGCGACAUGCAUUGCGCUGAAAAUUAUAGACCGAUUUCCUUGUUAUGAAUGGUUUCGAAGGUGUUGGAAAAAUGUAUUUACAACCGCUGUUAUGACCACAUUUCUGGAAUGG